rnacentral:misc_RNA from 1 species
UCCGGUUUGUCACCGGCAGUCUCAUUAGAGUGCCCAACUAAAUGUAGCAACUAAUGACAAGGGUUGCGCUCGUUGCGGGACUUAACCCAACAUCUCACGACACGAGCUGACGACAGCCAUGCAGCACCUAUGCAGCAGCCUUUUAAGGGGAAGGGAUAUUUCUACCCCGAUCCACUGCAUUUCGAGCCCAGGUAAGGUUCUUCGCGUUGCGUCGAAUUGAACCACAUGCUCCACCGCUUGUGCGGGCCCCCGUCAAUUCUUUUGAGUUUCAGCCUUGCGACCGUACUCCCCAGGCGGAUUGCUUAUCGCGUUAGCUACGUUGCCGCAGGGGUCAAUACCCGCGACGACUAGCAUCCAUCGUUUACGGCGUGGACUAC